AUGGCGCGCUGCGUGCGGGGCUGCUGCUGCGUCCUGGUGCUGCUGCUCGUCGCGCUCGGCAUCACGGCCGCCGUCGUGUUCCUCCGCAACAGGAACGGCGGCGGCGGCGGCGGCGACCGCCCCGUCCCCGGCUCCGUCGACCACAAGUACGCCGAGGCGCUCGCCGUGGCCCUCCAGUUCUUCCAGGUCCAGAAAUCCGGGAAGCUGGUGAAGAACCAGAUCCCGUGGAGGGGUGACUCGGCGGUGGACGACGGGCAGGAGGCCGGGCUGGACCUCUCCCGGGGGAUGUACGACGCCGGCGAUCACAUCAAGUUUGGCUUCCCGCUGGCGUUCACGGCCACCAUGCUGUCGUGGUCCGUCCUCGAGUACGGCGGCGCCAUGGAGGCCGCCAAGCAGCGGGACUCCGCCCUCGACGCGCUGCGCUGGAUCAUGGACUACCUCGUCAAUGCGCACCCCGCCGACGACGUCCUGUACAUCCAGGUAGGCGACCCUGAAGCCGACCACAAGUGCUGGGAGAGGCCGGAGACCAUGUCGGAGAAGCGGCCGCUGACCAAGAUCACCGCCAACUCCCCCGGCAGCGACGUGGCGGCCGAGACGGCGGCGGCGAUGGCCGCGGCGUCGCUGGUCUACAAGCCCAUCGACGCUCCCUACUCGUCGUCCCUCCUGGGCCACGCGCAGCAGCUCUUCGCGUUCGCGGACCGGCACAGGGCCGCCUACACGCGCACCUUCCCGGAGCUCGCCAAGUACUACAACUCCACCACGUACCAGGACGAGCUGCUGUGGGCGAGCGGCUGGCUCUUCCACGCCACCGGCAACGGCAGCUACCUCGCCUACGCCACCGGCAAGAACGGCGAGGACUUCGCCGACCUCGGCAACCCCCGCUACUUCAGCUGGGACGACAAGCGCCCGGGCACCCAGGUCCUCCUGUCGAGGGUGAGCUUCUUCGCGUCGCAGGGGGCCGGCGUCGCCGACGACAACGAAGGUGGCCUGGAGUCGUACAAGCAGACCGCCGACGCCGUCAUGUGCAUCCUUCUGCCGGACUCUGAAACCGCCGCGUUCAGAACGGAAGGUGGGUUGCUGUACGUGGCCGAGUGGAACUCGCUCCAGCACCCCGUCGCCUCGGCCUUCCUCGCCGCCGUUUACGGCGACUACAUGCUCACCUCGGGGAAGACGGAGCUCACCUGCGGCGGGCAGAGCUUCUCGCCGGACGACCUGCGCAAGUUCGCCCAGUCUCAGGCGGACUACGUGCUGGGGGACAACCCGAUGAAGCUGAGCUACCUGGUCGGGUACGGCGACAGCUACCCGCAGCGGGUGCACCACCGGGGCGCGUCCAUCCCGGCGGACGUCAACACGGGCUGCGGCGGCCAGCAGUGGCUCGAGUCGCCUGACACCAACCCGAACGUGGCCACGGGGGCGCUCGUCGGGGGCCCCUUCAAGAACGACUCGUUCGUGGACGAGCGGCAGAACGUGAUGCAGAACGAGGCCACCACGUACAACAGCGCGCUCAUCGUCGGCCUCCUCUCCGGCCUCCUCACCACUUCCUCCGUCGCGCAGUCCUUGUCGUCCUGA
rnacentral:rRNA from 1 species